ensembl:lncRNA
AUGAGAGGUUCUAGGAGAGGUGUUCAGAAUAAAAAUGCAGGUUCACAGCUCAGCAGAGGCCUGACCAGUAAGGUAGAGAGCGGAGAAGAGAGCCGUGGGGGCCCAGGGCAGUCACACAGCAGAGGCAGCUGGAAAAUCACCUGCCCAGCAUCACCCUCCUCCCUCAUCCUCUGUGAGUGUCUCCAGAGCUCCUGCCACCACACUGCUAGGAGGAUGUGCAAGAGGAGAUGUUAUAUGCACUUUUGUUGCCAACCAACACCACAGCUGCAAAACCAUCCAAGUCUUUGAAUGAUUGCAUGUCGGGAAAACUGAACUGGUCAAUUUGGGUAGGUGUACUCAUGGAUGGAGCGGCAGCCAUGACUGGACGGCUUUCUGGUUUCACUACUUGGGUCAAAGAGGUUGCUUCAGAAUGUGAGUCUAUGCACUAUUGUCAUCCCUAGAGCUGGCUAGCCAAAAAAUAUGACCUGAACUUAACAGUGUUUUGAAGGGUGUGAUAUAAAUUAUCAACCAUAAUAAUGUACAUGCCCUUAACUCAUGUCUGUUCACUCAGCUCUGUGAGGAGAUGGACACAGAGCACACACAUCUUCUCUUAUACACAGAAGUGAGAUGGCUUUCUAAAAGUAGAUCACUGGCCAGAGUUUUUAAGUUAUGAGAGCCACUCCAGAUAUUUCUUUUAGAAAAACAGUCACCACUGACAACACAUUUCAGUGACAUAGAAUGGGUCACAAAACUUGCUUACUUAUUGGAUAUAAACAACCUGCUCAAUAAAAUCAAUAUGUCACUUCAGGGGAGAAUGGCAACUAUAUUCAAGCUGUCAGACAAAGUGGCUUCAUUCAAAGCCAAAAUGGAAUUAUAGGAGCAAUGAGUAAACAUUGGGAACUGGAAUUUCUGACAUGUUUCAAACAUUAGCAGAGAUUUUGAAAGAGACUGAUACAGGGCCUUCUUUUCCCAGCUGGUGCAUGAUCACCUAUCUCUGCUUUCAAAAGAGUUUGAGGAUUACUUCCAAACCACAAAAGACUCCCAAACUGGGAAGGAAUGGAUCUGUGACCAGACUUGUCCAUGCUAGAAGAGGAUCAACUGCUUGAGACUGCAAAUGAUGGUGGCCUUAAAAGUAUGUCUGAGACAACUUCAAAUCUCCAUAGUUCUGGAUUAAAGUCAAGGUAAAAUAUUCUGUGAUUGCCACAAAACCACUGAAAAGCCUGCUUCCAUUUCCAGCAUCCUAUCUUAGUGAAGCAGAAUUUCCUCUAGUGACAGCAACCAAAAUGAGCUUAUGGAGUAGACUGGACACAAGCAACACACUUCGGUGUCCCUCUCUUCCAUCACCCCCAGAUGGGACCACCCAGUUGCAGGAAAACAAGCUCAGAGCUCCUACUGAUUCUACAUUAUGAUAAGUUUCAUAAUUAUUUCAUUAUAUGUUACAAUAAACACAAAGUGUACAAUAAAUGUAAUGCAGUUGAAUUAUCUCAAAAUCAUCCUCCCUACUCCACCUCAGUCUGGAAAAAUUGUCUUCUGUGAAACCAGCCUCUGGUGACAAAAAGGUUGGGGACCACUGACUGACAGAGAUUUUAGUUGAGUUAACAGUUUUGCUCAAAUAAACAGUCUCUGAGUUUCUUUCAGCUUUCAUAAUUGACGUUUCCUUACUGUGUAGGCCAACUGAGCCUGAAGUCCACUUGUGAUUUCAGCACCCUCUUUUUCAUAGUAUGAUCAGGAUUUUCCCAGUUUAUGCUGUAAUUCCUAUGCUCUGGAACUGAGUCCCAGACAAACAAGUGAUCACCCUACUUCUUAUCACCAUGCUGUGUCUCCUUGACCUUUGUCCAAAACAGCCCAGUGCUCUUAACUGCACCUUCCCACCCAUGGAAAAGCCUGAGCGCACACUACAAAAAGUCUUUGUCACCUACACUCUGGAUCUUGUGCAAACCCAAAGAAGGCUUUGCCUUCUACUUUCAUUCCCACCUGCACACUUGGGUAUCUUGGCAAGUACCUAGGUUUGUUUCUUGGUUAGCCCCUUGGAGCAAUGCUUCAGGCGAACCACGUGCUUGGUUUCACCAGCAAACAUGAGCUUCACACCUCCCAGCCCAACAUUUCUGUUGCCAGGCCAAUUAAUCAAUUUUUAAUACACAGCCCAAAACCAUGUGCCCAAAAUACCUAAAUUAGGGAUAUUCCUAAAACAGCCCUUAAUGUGCUUAGUUUUCCUAAUUAACUUCUAUUUUUCCAUAUACGAAAAGGAUAGGAAAGUCUCCCAGAAAAACAGACAAUGUCCUUGGGUUACUUUGUACCAUCUAACACUGCUAAACUGGUAGAGAGAAGUGAAGAGGUAGAAAAGAAGACUUUAAGAUGUCCCACCUAACCAACUGUUAAAAAAUGCUGUGAGUCUGAUCCCUUCAUUCAUCCACCUGACAGAAGCAUUAGAACAAACUUCCGCCUGUCACAGAAACUUCUGUUUGUCUACCCAGUAUUUAUUUAUUGUUCGUUACUUUCCUUUUUUCCUUACUAAGAGAAUGUCAAUUUUCUUCUAGAUAUUUAUUUAUUCUCCCUUGCAGCUAAGAGUAACCAAUGAGGUAUAAGUAGAAAUGUAUAAAAGGGACUUACUCAGCCAGGAGGGACAAUCCUGGGACAUUCUGUCCUCCUUCCUUCCUCCUUCUUUCUGCCUAGAAUAUGUCAGGUUGUUACAUUUUAAAAAUAAAAACACAAGGUGCCUACUUAAAUUUAAAUUUCAAAUAAAUAACAAAUAUUUAGUUUUAGUGUAAGUGUGUUCUAUGCAGUUUGGAACAUACUAACACUAAAAUGUCAUUUGUUGUUUACCUAAAAUUCAAGUCUAACUGGGUAUCCUGUAUUUUAUCAUGUCCCCAAGAAUGUGGGCAUGGAGACUGAAGCUCCAGCAGCCACCAUGGGACAUAAAGAGAACUUACAGUCAAAGCCACACAAUAAGGAUGACAAAAAGAAAACAUGGGCAUCCAGUCAUAGAAGACCAGAGAGUGACAUGUUAACCCAGGCCACAUUCCUUGGAACUUUUUCUACAUGUGAUAAAUAAAGCUUUACCCUGUUUGAGGCAUGGUUAUUUGGGAUUUGUUACAUGUAAACUCAGUCCUAAGUGGUAAAGUAUCAUUUCCACAUUGCUCUUCCUCUCCACUCACAUCUGCGCUUCUUUUUCUCUCCCCAGUACCCCAUGGUGAGCAUUUUAGGUGAUUUUAUUCAUUUACAAGAAUGAAUGGAAAGAGUAAAUUCCACACAAUAAUUUGUCUUCUUCCUAAAUCCUUAGACACAUCUUAAAAUGAAGGGGAAAAUAUAACAAUAUAUAUUUCUGAAGUUCUCUAGAAAAAAAGUGCCUAGAAGUCUCCCAAAAGACUAGAAAGCAAUGAAGAGAUUUCCUUCAAGGGGCUGCCAUAACCAUAUCAUAAUUGGGGAGGCUUGUUUUUGGAAAGGUAUAAAAUCAGGCAAAGAGAAGCUUAAAUGAAAUUCUAAAGAGAAGGGAAUGUGAUAGAAAACAUGCAAUUCUCGGGCGCGGUGGCUCACGCCUGUAAUCCCAGCACUUUGGGAGGCCGAGGAGGGUGGAUCACGAGGUCAAGAGAUCGAGACCAUCCUGGUCAACAUGGUGAAACCCCGUCUCUACUAAAAAUACAAAAAUUAGCUGGGCAUGGUGGCACGUGCUUGUAAUCCCAGCUACUCGGGAGGCUGAGGCAGGAGAAUUGCCUGAACCCAGGAGGCGGAGGUUGCGGUGAGCCGAGAUCGCGCCAUUGCACUCCAGCCUGGGUAACAAGAGAGAAACUCCAUCUCAAAAAAAAAAAAAGAAAGAAAACAUGCAAUUCUAUUUUAUCACUGAUUCAAUGGCACUGUGUAUUA